rnacentral:rRNA from 1 species
GGGGAAUAUUGCACAAUGGGGGAAACCCUGAUGCAGCGACGCCGCGUGGAGGAAGAAGGUCUUCGGAUUGUAAACUCCUGUUGUUGAGGAAGAUAAUGACGGUACUCAACAAGGAAGUGACGGCUAACUACGUGCCAGCAGCCGCGGUAAAACGUAGGUCACAAGCGUUGUCCGGAAUUACUGGGUGUAAAGGGAGCGCAGGCGGGAGAACAAGUUGGAAGUGAAAUCCAUGGGCUCAACCCAUGAACUGCUUUCAAAACUGUUUUUCUUGAGUAGUGCAGAGGUAGGCGGAAUUCCCGGUGUAGCGGUGGAAUGCGUAGAUAUCGGGAGGAACACCAGUGGCGAAGGCGGCCUACUGGGCACCAACUGACGCUGAGGCUCGAAAGUGUGGGUAGCAAACAGGAUUAGAUACCCUGGUAGUCCACACCGUAAACGAUGAUUACUAGGUGUUGGAGGAUUGACCCCUUCAGUGCCGCAGUUAACACAAUAAGUAAUCCACCUGGGGAGUACGACCGCAAGGUUGAAACUCAAAGGAAUUGACGGGGGCCCGCACAAGCAGUGGAGUAUGUGGUUUAAUUCGACGCAACGCGAAGAACCUUACCAAGUCUUGACAUCCCUUGACGAUGCUGGAAACAGCAUUUCUCUUCGGAGCAAGGAGACAGGUGGUGCAUGGUUGUCGUCAGCUCGUGUCGUGAGAUGUUGGGUUAAGUCCCGCAACGAGCGCAACCCUUAUGGUCAGUUACUACGCAAGAGGACUCUGGCCAGACUGCCGUUGACAAAACGGAGGAAGGUGGGGAUGACGUCAAAUCAUCAUGCCCUUUAUGACUUGGGCUACACACGUACUACAAUGGCGUUAAACAAAGAGAAGCAAGACCGCGAGGUGGAGCAAAACUCAGAAACAACGUCCCAGUUCGGACUGCAGGCUGCAACUCGCCUGCACGAAGUCGGAAUUGCUAGUAAUCGUGGAUCAGCAUGCCACGGUGAAUACGUUCCCG